CUCCGACCUCAUAUCGGGCGAGAUUACCCGCUGAACUUAAGCAAA
rnacentral:rRNA from 1 species